GAGGAGCUUGCUCCUCUGACGUUAGCGGCGGACGGGUGAGUAACACGUGGAUAACCUACCUAUAAGACUGGGAUAACUUCGGGAAACCGGAGCUAAUACCGGAUAAUAUAUUGAACCGCAUGGUUCAAUAGUGAAAGACGGUUUUGCUGUCACUUAUAGAUGGAUCCGCGCCGCAUUAGCUAGUUGGUAAGGUAACGGCUUACCAAGGCAACGAUGCGUAGCCGACCUGAGAGGGUGAUCGGCCACACUGGAACUGAGACACGGUCCAGACUCCUACGGGAGGCAGCAGUAGGGAAUCUUCCGCAAUGGGCGAAAGCCUGACGGAGCAACGCCGCGUGAGUGAUGAAGGUCUUCGGAUCGUAAAACUCUGUUAUUAGGGAAGAACAAAUGUGUAAGUAACUAUGCACGUCUUGACGGUACCUAAUCAGAAAGCCACGGCUAACUACGUGCCAGCAGCCGCGGUAAUACGUAGGUGGCAAGCGUUAUCCGGAAUUAUUGGGCGUAAAGCGCGCGUAGGCGGUUUUUUAAGUCUGAUGUGAAAGCCCACGGCUCAACCGUGGAGGGUCAUUGGAAACUGGAAAACUUGAGUGCAGAAGAGGAAAGUGGAAUUCCAUGUGUAGCGGUGAAAUGCGCAGAGAUAUGGAGGAACACCAGUGGCGAAGGCGACUU
rnacentral:rRNA from 1 species